ensembl:snoRNA
CCUUCCAACAAAGGCAUGUCAUGAGUUCCUUGUCUUUGGACACGUAAGAAUUGGAGGCAAAAAUAUUGUGGAUUUGGUGACAUCUGGGCCAGCUUAUUCCCUGCAGAUUCCAGAUCAACCAUUUCACAUAA